AGUAUAGCUCAAGGAGCCCUGGUCUCGGGAUAAAAAGGAGUUCAAGGCCAGUUUCUGUUACGGGUCUGAGCCAAGCCACAUCACUUCUCAGCUAAACAAGCACUGGCCUCCAGAUAAACAGUAUUAAAACAAUUACAACUCAUCCAGCUCACAGAUGCUGAUUCACUGAACCCCUGUUCCACCGACCAGAAACAGCUUUGACUGGACAAGAGGCUGAAUUCAGUAACUUUCUCCUGAUGAGAAGACCACCAGCCAUGGACUGGUUCUUGCUGGUUUACAGAGACUGCACACCUGUGUACCUUCAUGUCCUGAAAAGAUCUUUUGACAUAGGGGCUAGGUAUAAUACAUUUCAUCUAUUCAUUUCAAAAUGAACAUCGGUCAUAAGUUACAUGUAUGUUUAUCUAACAUGCCUGUGUCAGGACCACUUUCUUGAAUACUCAGCUCCUCCUGUAACUUGUUGAACAUGUAUGUUUAGCCAACCUUUUCAGCAUAAAACUCCUACCCCAACCCCUCCUCCUUCCAAACGCCUGUCUCUGGUCUUGGCUAGAGGCAGGCUUCCCAGCCUGUGGGACAACCACCUUGCAGGCUGUAACCUUUUAUAAGAAUUAAAGCCUCUUCUCUUCUAAAUUUA